rnacentral:tRNA from 1 species
AGCGAUAUGGUGUAAUUGGUAAGCAUUUUAGGCUCAUGACCUGAAGGUGUAGGUUCGAAUCCUGAUGUCGCAU